UACGGAAGGCAGCAGGGGGAAUAUUGCACAAUGGGCGCAAGCCUGAUGCAGCCAUGCCGCGUGUAUGAAAAGGCCUUCGGGUUGUAAAGUACUUUCAGUCGUGAGGAAGGUGUUAAGGUUAAUAACCUUAGCAAUUGACGUUAGCGACAGAAGAAGCACCGGCUAACUCCGUGCCAGCAGCCGCGGUAAUACGGAGGGUGCGAGCGUUAAUCGGAAUUACUGGGCGUAAAGGGCACGCAGGCGGUUAAUUAAGUUGGAUGUGAAAUCCCCGGGCUUAACCUGGGAAUGGCAUUCAAGACUGGUUAGCUAGAGUCUUGUAGAGGGGGUAGAAUUCCAUGUGUAGCGGUGAAAUGCGUAGAGAUGUGGAGGAAUACCGGUGGCGAAGGCGGCCCCUGGACAAAGACUGACGCUCAUGUGCGAAAGCGUGGGGAGCGAAACAGGGAUUAGAUACC
rnacentral:rRNA from 1 species